rnacentral:rRNA from 1 species
CCCUUAGAUGUUCUGGGCGGCCCGCGCACUACACCGGCACUCUCAAUCAGAGCCUGGAUCUAACACUUUGGGGUAUUCUAUGAAGUGGUGUCGUGACUGGGAUUAACCCUUGCAAUUAUUGGUUACGAACGAGGAAUUCCUUGUAAUCGCGGUUUAUCAGCCCGCGUUGAAUGCGUCCCUGCCCUUUGUACACACCGCCCGUCGCUCCUACCGAUGGAUCGUCCGGUGAAGCUCAUGGAGGGGCGGUUGUCUCAGCUGCCGUCGAAGUGAAAUGGACCUCACGAUCUAGAGGAAGGAGAAGUCGUAACA